GAGUGACGUUUGGGUUCUUUGAUUACAACGACAUUUGGGUAUGACAAGUCAACCACCACGUUAGAAUAACUCAGCCGUAACAUCAAAUAAUCUAUUAUAAGUCAGCCAUUAUGGUAGAAUAACUCGGCCAUCACACGAUUUGUGCGGUGACAAGUCAGCCACCAGAAUAACUAUGCCAAAUGAUGAUAGGUUUUUAGUCAAUUAUCCUAAAACACCAAUCAUGUCAUUGUAGUAUUUUAGGUUGUCAAUCCAAAUGGGUGUGAUGCUAGCAAUCAAGAUACAAUCAGAGUUCACAGAGUUAAGCCAAGCAAUAAGAGGUUUUCGGGUGUUCUAGCAGUCCUAAGUGAACAAGCAGGAAACAGAAAUUCAAGCAGAACAGUAAAAACACUCGACCAACACAGCUUGUUGCCAAGCACUGGAUGUGGUCGAGUGACAGGUCGAGUAAUAGACAGAAAAUGUUACAGGGAUACUCGGCUGCACAGUCUGUUGCCAGACAACUUGGUGGGCGAGUAUCAGGUCGAGUAACAGGCAGAAAAUACAAAAACUAAACAACAGGCAGCGAGGUGCAGUAAACAAUAGCGGAGUAAACAAAGAAAUCAAUUAGAUAAAGAAUUCCCGAGGAUGGGGUAAUUGAGUAGUUUCGUUUCUUCAGUUUACAGAUGAUUGACAUGCUCAAUAAAUUAUCCCUAGACAACAAGUUCGAUAACCAAAUCUAAGUGCCACCGCAACAGAGACCCUCAAGUUAAACCAGUCCCAGACUCAAUCACCAUUGAUGAGAGCUAACCAAACAUGCAUUACGAACCAACAAGUUAAAGCCAAAACGCUCCCUGCAACCAAUACCUUAGUACAGAGCCACGAAUCUCUGGAAUUAGUGGUUCAGACAUUUCAUCGAACACCUUUUGGGUGCAGAUAUGUCUGGGCUCAAAUUCCAGUUGAUCAGAAAGCAAUAGGCAUUAAGAACAACUAAUCUAGAAAGGAUCUAUAAAUCAAACUCAACCACCUAGCGUAUUGACAAUUCUAAACUACUCUCAACAGUUUGAUACAUCUAGCGGAUUUGGAUUUCUUUAACAACUAAGAUUCCUGUUUUUUUU
rnacentral:sRNA from 1 species